UUUUUUUAAGGUAGGAAAYGGCAAAUCCAGCCUCCCGGAGCGUUUGGGCGGACCCUGCUCUGUGCCGCAUCCUUGCUUGCUCGCCGCUGGCAGCAAAAAGGGGGACAAAGCCGCACGAGCCAAAGUGCCCAGCCGACACUUUUAUAGCUGGAAAAGUAUUUUAGAUAAGUAUCUCCCAAUCCUCGAGGUCCAGCCCAAGCCAGGGCAAACCGAACUCCCUGGCUGCAUAUACCGAUGUGAAAAAUCCCCCCCACCCCCUCCUCUUCCCAAACUUCCCACAUCUGUUAAAAUUUUCCACGGGGAAGGGCUGAGUUGGGCGGGAGGGAGGCUGCAGGCAGCACCACUAAAUUGCAAAGCCAAUUUAGCCGGGAUGACAUGUUUUCUAACCGGCAAGAAAUAUCACCCCAUUAGACUAAGCCACUUCUAGUCUAACAAGGACCCUGCCAGCCAAAUCCCACUAUUUUAUUUUAUAAUUGUUUGCAUUUUCAUUAUAGAGUCUUUUAUUUCCUCCCCGUCUUGCUUCCACACCUUUCUUGUGUUGUUUCCUGUGCUUCUCCAUCUUCUCCUUAUAUGAACAUAAAUUUUUUUGGGCAACUAAGUUUAGCCCUGCUUGCCCAGCUGUGGGCCAUUGCUCCAGCGAGAGAUGGGGCUAGGAAACACGGCCGCUGGCUCCCGCCGCCCCGGAGGGGUGGUGCAAGCCACAGGUGCCUCUGCCAGCCCUCGGGCCCAAACGCACCUUUGAACUUACACAGCCAAUAGUUAAAAMCUGGCUUUUUUGGUGUUUUUCUCUAUUUAUUUCAUUAGCGAUUCCCCUUGCCCUGGUCCCCGACCACCCCAGGCGGAYGGUUUGCCUCUGCAGCCCCCCACUCGCCGGCCGAGCGACUGGCGCUGAUUUACGGCCGCCGCACGCCUGGGUCUGCCCAGCCCUCGGCACAGCCGGUAUCUGCCGCCUCUUUUCCUGCGCUAGGGGCAAAAAGGUGUGGGGACACUGGUGGCACGGGCGAGCCGGAGCCUUUCCGCGCCUGCAGACGGAGGUGCGAAUUACAGGAGCGAGUUACUGGCAGAGCAGCAGCUUUCCAUUUCGAGGUGAGGCCCCGUCUCUCGGAGGAAGGAGAAAGGAGCCUUUUGGAAACRUGCAGAAUUUUUGCCCCGAUUUAUGAGGAUUUUGCAGGUGGAGAGCGGCAGCGCCGGCACGCGCCGUGGCUGGGAUGCUGAAGCUCUUGCUGAGGCUGCGCCAGCGAUUACCCAGUCCKCUUGCUGACUCAGCUACAUCACGUCUCCCCUCAUCCUGCUGCUAAUUAGACUCCAGCCUCUCAUCUUGUUAAUAAGCUUCCAGUUCAUUUGCAUACAAAAAAAAAAAGGGAGAAGGAAAGCAAGCAGCUCGUUUUACCUUCAACAUGUGGCUAAGUCUUAUUAAAAUAUUUAACUUUUUAUCGCGGCGCAGAAGCAGCUGUUUAGCCUGAGCCCGGCGCAGGCAGCUGCAACCAGUUUGGCGCUUCCCGGGCGCGCUGGACCUUCCCCUGU
rnacentral:lncRNA from 1 species